GUAAAGUUUUAUUCUAGCUAGAAAGUUCUCUGCCAGAUUGCUUCACAUGUUAUUAGUAGGGAGUUCGAUAAAACGAUCUAAAAGAUUGUUCAAUAUUUUGGUAUUCACAGUGUUUGAUAUUGGUUGAUCAAGGAGUCUUGGAACCAGUAAUUUUGUUAAUUCCGGCAAAACUCGUGCCAGCCGCCGCGGUUACACGAAGGGGGUGAGAGUAUUUUAUUGGUUUGUAAUUAAUUUUAAUUGGUUGAUUGGAAGUAAAGGUUUAUUAGGUGAAAUUUUAAACUUGGAGUUAAUCAUAAGUUUGUGAAUGAAGUUAUGAAGUUUAGGAAAUAAACUGGGAUUAGAUACCCCACUAUUCUAAAAGUUAAAUGUAAACCAGAGUAGUAAUAGUUAUGUUCUCAAAACUCAAAGAAUUUGGCGGUGUUUUAACCCGGUCAGAGGAACCUGUCCCGUUAUCGAUAAUCCACGUUUAUUUAACUUAGCUUUGUAUUCAGCUUGUAUACCGCCGUCAGAAGAGUGAUUCGAGAGAAUACCCUCAAGGUUCCCAAGUAGGAAGAAUGUCAGGUCAAGGUGCAGUUUAUGGUUAAGGGGAGAUGGGUUACAAUAAUGUUAGUUAAAUGGAGAUUUUCUUGUAAAAGGAGAUUGAAGGUGGAUUUGGAUGUAAUAAGAAACAAUAACUUCUUAUGAUACCGGCUCUAAAACAAGCACACAUCGCCCGUCGCUCUCGUUUUUUAAGGCGAGAUAAGUCGUAACAUAGUAGAUGUACCGGAAGGUGCCUCUAGAAAGU
rnacentral:ncRNA from 1 species